CACGAACGCUGGCGGCAGGCUUAACACAUGCAAGUCGAGCGCCCCGCAAGGGGAGCGGCAGACGGGUGAGUAACGCGUGGGAAUCUACCCAUCUCUACGGAAUAACGCAUGGAAACGUGUGCUAAUACCGUAUACGUCCUUCGGGAGAAAGAUUUAUCGGAGAUGGAUGAGCCCGCGUUGGAUUAGCUAGUUGGUGGGGUAAAGGCCUACAAAGGCGACGAUCCAUAGCUGGUCUGAGAGGAUGAUCAGCCACACUGGGACUGAGACACGGCCCAGACUCCUACGGGAGGCAGCAGUGGGGAAUAUUGGACAAUGGGCGCAAGCCUGAUCCAGCCAUGCCGCGUGAGUGAUGAAGGCCCUAGGGUUGUAAAGCUCUUUCACCGGUGAAGAUAAUGACGGUAUCCGGAGAAGAAGCCCCGGCUAACUUCGUGCCAGCAGCCGCAGUAAGAC
rnacentral:rRNA from 1 species